AGUGGUGUGGGACAGAGAUGCUGCCCAGAACCUGGAGAUGCGUGAGCCUCGCUGGGCUAAAGAGCCUCCCAGGCUGCGUCCCAAAGGAAGGAAAGAGGUUUUGGGGCAAGGGGUUCACAGAAAGUUCCCCCAUAACAUGCAUUUGACUUGCAAAUGAAUUGGGAAGACCUUCUCAGCAAGCAGGAGAUGCUGGUGAGCAGGUGGUGCAGCAGGUCUGAGUGAAGUCUGAGAGGUGGUCCAGAGCCCAGAGAAGUGCUUUGCGGAAGGAGGGAAGGAGGUAGCUAAAUGGGGAGAAAAACCACCCAGCACCUGAGGGAGGAGAGAACAAACUUGCAACGGGAGGAAGCUGCUCUUAUCCAGCAACACAGACUGCAGGAGACACGAUCUACUGUGUAACAUACUAAUUCCCAGGGAUAAUGUAGGAUAGAAACCCACUAAUUUGUACACAAAUUAGGAGAGUUACAAAGUUGUGAGCUGUAAACAAGCCACUAAAAACUGAGGAAAAUGAUUCACGAAAUGUAUUUUAUCUUAGCAUUUGGCAAGCCCUUGUUUGCUUGUAACUAUGUUGGGUCAUGUGUCCUUAUGAUUCAGAGGUUUAAAGAUGGUGAAGAAAGGUGAGCCAUUGCCAUUGCAGGUAGUUAAAUUUAUGAAAAGAAAUGGGGAAAGAGCACUAUCUUCAAUGUUCACAGCACAAAGUCUGAGAAACAGUGGGAUUCAGAGCUGUUCUACCAUAUUAUUUUUGAGUGAUACAGAAAAUUCAAUGAGAACCCCAUUUUAAUCCAGUAUUACUUGAAUGCAGAUCAAUCUCAGAAUGCAAAAUACGCAGAGGCAGGAAACAUAUAUACACUCUUUAAAUUUUGCAUGUCCUUUGUUCUUUGCCUGGACAUAAACACUGGCAAAAGAAAAAAAAUUAAACAAACCUACACACAUUGAUUAUUCACAGAAAUGUCAUGCCACCUGAGGUCUUGGCACUGUACAUGAUGUUGCAAAAAUGAAAGUGCCCUUAUGUGGCAGAAAUUGCAUCCAGUGGGUGUGUGUUUGUUGGGUUUUGUGUCACACAGGUUGAAGGGAAGAGUCGGAGGGAGCAGAAGGAACGUGACUGAGGUCCGUCGUGCCAGCUGAGGAGGAGGCAGGCGUGGUGCCAGGGCUCAGCGAAGUGUAAAAGAGAAAUGGAUGAAGGGAAGGGGAGCUACUAAUGGGGCCAUGCAGAACACGCUGAAAGGUUUCAAGUCUGCCCCAGUCUUUGAAGAAAGGUUGACUUGUAAGCAGAUGUCAGCACGGUGGAGAUCAGGGAAGGGCAUGUUAAGGGAUAUUUAGAUAAAUUGGAAGUAUUUAAGUCGACAGAGGCUGAUGGCACUUCCCCGGGCGCACCGGGAGUACCAGCUGUUACAGUCUCUGAGCUGUAAGCAGGUACCUCCGAGGACUCCUCACAGACAGGUGAUGCCCCUGAGAGAGGGUGAGGGUGAACACAAAACCUGGUUUUAAGCAGGGGACAAAAGAAAGAUGUUGGAGUUUUGACGUUUGGAAAGAAACUGGGACAAACUCAUGAUCCGUUUGUCUGCCCACCCCCAGGGAUAACAAGAUUAUAAAGAUCACUCAAUGUGAAUCUUUGCAAUAAUUGACGUCAAACCAGUCUAAUGUCCUUUCUGACAGAGUAACUGGCUGCCUUAGCGUAAGCAGGAGGAAAAGUAGAUUUGAAUGAGGUUUUUAAUAUUUCAUUACUAAACUAGGGAAAUACGGUUGACAUGAAACUGUGACUUUAAGCAUGAUUGAAAGACUGUGGUUAGAGUAACUGCCAUUAGUUUGCUGUCAAGAGACAUUAAAUGACAUCUCGCAGAUUUCAUCCUGGAAACUACUAGUCAAUAUUUUUAAUAAUAAUGCAGAUAACAGAGCUAUAAAACUCAAGCAUGACAGCAUGCUUGAGAGAGAAACAGAUUUUGGAGUCUAAGAUGAGAAUUCAAAGCAGCCUCAACACGUUGGAGAAAAGGUCUGAUGUCAACAAGAUGAAUUUCAGUAAAAGAGAAUACAAAGAACUGCAUGGAAUACAGAGAAAUAAUUGUACAAAUGCAGAAUGAGGAAUAACUAGCUAAUUAUCAAUACUACACUUGUCUUUUAGUUCCUUAAUUACAGCAAUGAAAGCACUCUGUCUUUAUAAGGGAAAUCAAAACCAUCGACAAUUAAGGAAUUUGUUUGCACUACAAAAAACACAGAAUUGUAACAAUUCUGCUGUUGGGGCAAUGUUAAGAAAUAUUCAUAUUGACACAGGGCAGAGACAGAUUUAAAGUAAAUGGACUGAAUGGUAACAAGUCACCAAGCUUUUACCCAGAAGAAAGCCAAGUAAGGCACUGUUGAACCAGCAUUUAAAUUGUCCUCAGUGUCACAGGAGUGGAAGGUGACAACUUUCCACUGUGGAAAAAGAGCUCCAAGUGGACUCUGAGAAGCUACAGACAGCUCCACUGGACAAAUUCGCUAGAAAGACAGAAAAAACCCCACCCAUAGUAGACACCAGAUAAAUACAGUAUAUACUGAAGAAGAGUGAGAGGCAGUUUGACAUUUCUUGAGGGAUGCGAUGCACUAUAAAUAUAAGAGACUUCUCUAAAAAGUUAAUGACCUUAUAGAUGGGGGUGACCAAGCUGACACAGUGUACCUCAAUUUCCAAAAGGGUGUUGACAGAUCCUUUCCAGACACUUGUAAAGAAAUCAACCAGUCAGAAAGAAGUUCCCCAUGUGUGAAUGGUUACAAAAUAAGAAACAGAGGAAUAAUGGAGAGUUUUUACUGUGAAGAAAGGUUUUCAGUAUAGUUCCAUGGAAAUCUAUGAUAGGAUCACUGUUGUUCAAUAGCUUUGUAAAUUAUUUUGGAGAAAAGAAUAAUUACUGGCAACAAUAUUUACUGAGGAUAUGUAACUGUUCAAGGUAGUCAAAAUCAGAACUGUGGGUGGAAAAUUACAGCAGAAUCUCAUGAUGCCAAGUGACUUCAGAAAAAUUCAGUGUUAGUAAAUUCAGAAAAGUGUACGUUGUUUUGUACUUUUUAUUUUUAAAUCUUUCCAUUGUGCUUUCAGAAACAAUGUUAAGAUAGUGGUGGCCUCCAAACCAACUGUUACUGCUUAGGAAGGAGGUCUCAGUAUCAUUGUAGCUAUUUCUUGGUAAAUAUCAGCUUAAUACUCCACAGUGCUCAAAAAGGCAAACAGGAGGUUAGGCGUUGUUGGGAAUGGAGCAGCAAAACAAGCAGAAAGUAUUUCAAUGCUGUUAGUAACACCAAGGCAUGUCCUCAUCUCACAUAUCCAAUUCCCAUAGUUGGAAAAAACAGCAGAGCAGGAGGAGAGAGAGAGCUCGGAGGUGGGGAGGGUUUCCAGGCAGCCUGAGCAGGUCUUUCUGAGUGGGAAAGGAGACAACGGCCAAGAGAUAUAGUGCAGUGAUAUAAAAUCAGGAGUGGCAUGAUGAAGGUGAACAGGAAUCUGUUGCUCAAGACUUUCCACAACACAUAACAAGGAGAAGAAAUUUGAAAGGAAGUACGCAAACACAGCAUGUCAUCACACUGUGAAAUUCACUCUCACCGAAAGCUGAGUGCUAAAAAUGCAAGUGAGUUUGGAAGGUGACUGGGUGGUUUUUAGAAGAAAGACCAGCAGGAGCAUUUCAGAUGUGAAUCCAACCCCAGAAUCAAAAAAUCAAACAAUUUAUAUGUACUUAGAAGGGAGGAAACUGCCUUGCAGUAUCUAUGGGUUUGUUUGCAAUUUUUUUUUGCUGGGCUGCAGAUAGGCUGUAAAACCUGUUAUGUCUCCUCACACCAGCUCAUAAAACAUAUUGGAGUAAUGGUGGGCUAGAAGACGAUAUGAAGCUGCUGAUCCUGAGCAAGUUACAUAGUGGCAACGUUGACUGGAGAUUUUAUCAUCAGCAGCACAGCAAAGUGGCACAGUACAUGGGUGUGUGAACAUGGCUACAGAAGUGCCAGCAGAGACUAUGUUCUGCCAUGAAUCACCUGAAGGUGACAGGAGGCUAUGUAAAGUGUAGCCCCAAAAUAAGUUCUAGAAAGGGUGAAAGGAGGCUGGUGAUAAUGAUGAAAGUAGAAAAUAUAAUUUUCAAAGCAUCAUCAUUUGCAAUGAUAAGUAGAGAGAGGACACUUUAGGCGGAGUUGUGAGAAAAAACCACAAGAUUUCCAAGAAAAGUUGUCAUGCAGGAUUUAAGUUGCUUGAAAGAACAACAGGGGUGGAAAGACAAAUGAGAGAAAUAGCAAAGCAAUAAUGAAAAAUAAGUUAAUUUAUAACAGGGUAAAGAAGAUGAACACUGUUGGAGAGCAGAAAAGAAUUUCUGGACAGUGGAAGGAGAGGUAAGACAGGGAGCAGCAACAGCUGCUGGAGUAGAAAAGGAAGUUGCAGAGUAAUUCAGUUAAAAGCAACAGGAGAAAACUUAGCAGAGCUGUAUGACAGGGGCAAGAAAUGUGCCGUGGGGCAAAGAAAUGAGGCAGGUGAAGAGGAGAGCACAGGAAGUCAGGGACAAAAAAAGAGGAACAGCAAGCUGGAGAAGAGGAGGGACCUUGAAUGGGGGAAAGAAAAGGAGUGAAGGAAAUGGAGGUGAAAGGAGGAAAGGGAAAGGCAAGUUACCACCAGGGGAGAUGGAGAGACUCCAGUUGCAUCGGCCUGAAGCCCACACUGGGCCUCUUGUUGCUCUCCUGAGACCCAGCACCGCUGGUGCAAACGGUGCCAAGCCACAACACAAACUGCUGAUCCUAAAAAGCAGUGCCUUGGGAGCUGCGGGUGCUCAGUGCUCCACUGGAUCUGGCUCGCUACUGAUAAUGUGCUCCUACAGGCAAUGCUUUCAACGGGCAUUUUACAGGCUUACCGUGCACUCUGAAGAUCUGAUCCAAAGACAGCUUGCAUUAGUAAGCUUUGUUCAUGCAAAUAAAUGCUUUCAGGAUCAAUACUGAAGAUAAGAUACAAGAGCAAAACUCUAAGACAAGACGAUGGCUUAAGGAUUGCUGGGAAGUAAAGGAAGAAAUCCUGUUAGGGAUGAAUUUAUAAGGCCAGAGAAGGCAUUAGGAGGGCAAGAAGAUAGGAGCUGCCCUACAUGUAAGAGGCAGCCUCAGUAAGGGUACCAGGAUAGCCACGUGUGAUUUACAGAGCUCAGACAGCCCACACACAGUGUGGCCAGGGUACGGAGGAGCUGACAACACAGAAGUACUAUCCAAAUUCAACAAAAGCAAAGGAAGGUAACUUUAAUGUUGCAGAUGUUCAGUAUGAUGCUGAGCCUUUGAAAAAGGACCAGGAAGGAACCAUGGCCAUAAUGAUGCAGGGUGGCUCCCAUCACUUAGGAAAAGUGUCACUAAUUGUAAUAACAUCUGAAAAUGUCAUAAAGAGAAAGAUCUUUGGCCAUGAGAGAGACCCUGUGAUAACAAGCCCAGGGCUUAUUGUAGAGGAUGUCAUUCAACUGCUGUAAAAGAUAGCUCUUACUGACAGAAACAUGGACAGGGAGCUCUAGAGGAGUGGAAAAUCAGUUGCUAUUUGGAGACCAGAGUGAGGCAAAAUGAUUAUAACACGGCCAGGGAAUGGUAGGAACAUGACUAAAAACAUGAAGUGAGACUCUUAGCUAAGGUUAAACAAACGUGAUCCGUAGAUCUUGUACAGUGAAAUCUCUUCUGCCAAGAGUUGUUUUUCUGAAAGGUGGUUAUAAUGCUGUCCAGGGAGAUUUUAGUGUUAAAAAGAUUUUUUUCCCAGCAGUUAGCUCUGGCAGAACAACCUGGGCUCAGCUCCAGGCCAGUUCUUUUCCUAUUGCUCAUCCUCUCUAGCAGAUUCUGCAGGUCUAAUUAGCAACACAGGCUUUGGCCCUUUUGUUGGCAUAACGAUGUUGUGACCUUUAGUGACCCUUUGUAUCCUUCUAGUGAGCCCCGUGCAUCCUGGUGGCUUUCCAAGGGCCUGAGCAGUUGGGAAAGCAGCAGACAGCCCUCUUGCUGGUGCUCCGGAUCUCAGCUCCUUCCUAUACGAGUUUUGGCACUGGGGAUUUAACAGGAGUAAAAAGCUUUGCAAACCCUGCAGGAUUUGUACACCGCUGACUGCAAACUGCGAACAGGUCUGCAAGGGCUGCAACGGGAGACCAUGACCACAAUCCCAGGAGGUCGGCAGGAGUAACUCCAUAUACAGCACCUACGUGAAGGCUGUACAAAUACCGCACCCAGUCCUGAUGUCAAUCCUGAAAAAGCAGUGAAGGGACAGAGGAAAACAAGCAAAUGACUGAGUCAAAGCUUGAGCAACAUCCUACACUGAGAAAUAUAAGAAGCAGCUUAAUCUUCUGAAUAUAUCUAAGCAGAGAUGAAAAGGGGGCUUCAUCCACCUGCAAAUACCUGGAUGGUGAAGAGACAAGCUAGCAUAGAACAGGAGCAAAUGGUUGGAAGCCGAAGUUAAAAAAUACUUGCGAUCCUAUUCUGAGUUUAUUUGACACCAAAAGUAAUUAUCGUAAAUUAGGAGUUCGGUGUACAAUUCAUACAGAAGGCUUUGUUGUUUGUGCUUAGCAGGAAAUCAGACGGAUGACCAUAAUUGUCCUGUUUUUAACUUGCAAAUUAUAAGGCUGUUCAAACCAUUCACCUCUCAUGGCCUGUCCCAUCACAGGGGAAAGUGAGCACUGAACUGGGCACCACGCUGCUGAUGGACAACCCUACAGCCACACACCAGCUUUGCUCCUCUCUCCCCAUCAGCCCUCCUCAGGAUCAGUACUGCUCCACUGAGGCAGAAAUAGGCCAGAAAUGACCUCCCAGGCUAGCGUGGGCACGCUGGGAGGGCAGUGGACCCAGCUUCUCAGAGCCGCGACACCUUGGGGCUUUCUGAUGGGUUUGUCCUGGCACAUUUACACCGUAUACACAAAGCACGGGUGAAGUAGUAGUUCCUACAUGAACUGAAUAGAUAUUUCUUUUCCAUUUUCACGUAUUUUUAACACUCUGCUUCUGUGAUUUGUUAUAUCGUCACUUAAUUGCACUGACACUGUUAAGUGUUUGGUGGAGUGGGAGUUUUAAUUAAAGAUGCUAAACAAGAA